CCAGACUCCUACGGGAGGCAGCAGUGAGGAAUAUUGGUCAAUGGGCGGAAGCCUGAACCAGCCAAGUCGCGUGAGGGACUAAGGCCCUGCGGGUCGUAAACCUCUUUUGCCGGGGAGCAGUGGUCCGGACGCGUCCGGACCGGGAGAGUACCCGGAGAAAAAGCAUCGGCUAACUCCGUGCCAGCAGCCGCGGUAAUACGGAGGAUGCGAGCGUUAUCCGGAUUUAUUGGGUUUAAAGGGUGCGCAGGCGGAGGUGCAAGUCAGCGGUCAAAUUGCGGGGCUCAACCCCGUACUGCCGUUGAAACUGGCAGUCUCGAGUUGGAGAGAAGUAUGCGGAAUGCGCGGUGUAGCGGUGAAAUGCAUAGAUAUCGCGCAGAACUCCGAUUGCGAAGGCAGCAUGCCGGCUCCACACUGACGCUGAGGCACGAAAGCGUGGGUAUCGAACAGGAUUAGAUACCCCGGUAGA
rnacentral:rRNA from 1 species